AGAAAGAAACUUCAACCCCGAAACAAGAUGAUAUAUAAGAUGACACGACUGUACCCGACAAAACUUUAUUCCAGUUCAUGAAGAAAUGACAUUGAGAAAUCUGUGUCCCACCGGCCAAUCUAGCCUUUGAUCAAAUCUUCCUUUUCCCAAUUUUCGUUGUUAGCUGUCUCCAACGUUUCCACUCCGCUUUCCUUCCCCCUUGUCACCGGUACUUUUUCUUCCAAUUCCAAGCCUUUUAUUCUUCCAAUAUUUCUUAACUUUCAACCCAUAAUCAUUAAUGGGAUAGCUGAGUUCUGCUCCUUCAAGAUGCAAACUUUGAAAGAGAAGGUCACAGACAAGCUCUCUCGCCUCUUCGCCGAUUCUCCGCAGUCUACCCCUCAUCAGGGCAGCUCCUACUCUAAAGAGGGUAGAUCUUGGUCUUCAUAUUUUCCUACGCUAUUCCUUCUGUCAGUUUCAGUGGGUCCAAGACAAGUAACCAGCAAUAUGAUCUUAAACCAGUUCAAGUUACAUAUAAUAAUCUUGAGCCUCAAGAUGAUUCAUUGGAUGAAUAUGUUGACUGUAGUCCAGUGUAUAAAGCAUGAACUUUUUGAAAGAUAAGAUUAAAGAUGAUGAUCAGGCCUCCAGGAGGACUAGUUGCAGUUCGGAAGUUUUUGAAGAAGCAAAUGCACAAACUCCUAAUUCAUCGAAGAAGCCCCGGGUCAAUCUGACUGAUGACUCUAUUUUUAUUUCAACUGAGUUGUAUGAAUUUUUUGAGUCAUGUCUACCCAAUAUAGUUAAAGGGUGUCAAUGGGUCUUACUUUAUAGGGCAGUACUUUGAAACAUGGAAUAUCACUUCGUACACUAAUUCGCAAG